GCGCAGCAGGCGAGAAUCCUUCGCAAUGCGGGAAACCGCGACGAGGGGACUCCCAGUGCCUACGCUCAGCGUAGGCUGUUCCCGAGCCUAGAAAGCUCGGGGAGUAAGGGCUGGGUAAGACGGGUGCCAGCCGCCGCGGUAAUACCCGCAGCCCGAGUGGUGGCCACUAUUAUUGGGCCUAAAGCGUCCGUAGCCGGCCCGGUAAAUGCCUGGGUAAAUCGUGAGGCCUAACCUCACGAAUUCCGGGUAGACUGCCGGGCUAGGGACCGGAGGAGGGAGAGGGUACGUCCAGGGGUAGGGGUGGAAAUACCUGUAAUCCCUCGGAGGACCACCGGUGGCGAAGGCGCUCUCCUAGGACGGGUCCGACGGUGAGGGACGAAAACCAAGGGGAGCGAACCGGAUUAGAUACCCGCGUAGU
rnacentral:rRNA from 1 species